AUUGAACGCUGGCGGCAGGCCUAACACAUGCAAGUCGAGCGGGGCGGCGGUCGGGUGAGUAAUGCCAAUGAAUCUGCCUGGUCGUGGGGGAUAACGUCGGGAAACGGGCGGUAAUACCGACUAAUAUCAGUUGAGCCGAGGUCGGUUUAGCUAGUUGGUGGGGUAAAGGCCGACCAAGGCGACGAUCCGUAACUGGUCUGAGAGGAUGAUCAGGCAAACUGGAACUGAGACACGGUCCAGACUCCUAGGGGAGGAAGCAGGGGGGAAUAGUGGACAAUGGGCGAAAGCCUGAUCCAGCCAUGCCGCGUGUGUGAAGAAGGUCUUCGGGUUGUAAAGUACUUUAAGUUGGGAGGCGUUACCUACAGAAUAAGCACCGGCUAACUUCGUGCCAGCAGCCGCGGUAAUAC
rnacentral:rRNA from 1 species